UCAAAUCUCAAGCCCAUGCUUGGUGUUGGGUCUUCGUCCUCCCCCGAGGGCGUGCCUGAAAAUCAGUGGCGGUGCCAUCGUGGCCUCAAGCGUAGUUGAAACUCUUGCUUUGGAGGGCUGCUGGUCCACCGGCCAAACACAAAAAUCUUAAAG
rnacentral:misc_RNA from 1 species